GCUUGAUGAAACGACAUGUAAACUUCUUAACAUGAUCCUGGGAAAUCUUGUGCCGAUUAAACUCAAUACGAAUCUGCUGACAGGCGUGGUGAACAUUCUGCCUUGUGGAAAGACAUUAUUGGGGAAAUAGUUGGCAACUACAAUGUGCGUUAGAAAAAAACACAUCAUGCAUGAUGCAAAGAAAAACUUCGAUUUCAAACCACCUUACCUAAUUACCUUUCGCUUUCAUAAAAAAAAAAUCUAAAAAAAAAUGUCAUCUUAGCCAUACUCUCCUCCCUUUAC